rnacentral:rRNA from 1 species
UACAGAGACCUCAAGCGUUAUCCGGAAUCAUUGGGCGUAAAGCGUACCGAUAGGUGGUUUUACAAGUCAGAAGUGAAAUUCCAAAGCUCAACUUUGGGUCUGUCUUUUGAAACUGUAAAACUAGAGGGGCAAAGAGGAAGCUGGAACAAACGGUGUAGUAGUGAAAUGCGUUGAUAUCGUUUGGAACACCAAUAGCGUAGGCAGGCUUCUGGGUGCCACCUGACACUGCUAGGACGAAAGCGUGGGGAGCGAACAGG